rnacentral:misc_RNA from 1 species
AGGACGCCGAAGGUGGGGCUGAUGACUGGGGUGAAGUCGUAACAAGGUAGCCGUACCGGAAGGUGCGGCUGGAUCACCUCCUAACAGGGAGACAAUAAAUUGAUUGUGAUGUCUAAGUUAUUUAUUCUUAGGCUGCAAUCCUGUCACCUUAAGGUCGAUCGGUACCUCAGGUUUUUGAAUUAGUUUAUAAUUAAUUCUUUAAUUUCAGUUCCUAAACUUGUCUAGGUCACACCCAACAAAGGUUUCUCCUGGGCCAUUAGCUCAGGUGGUUAGAGCGCACCCCUGAUAAGGGUGAGGUCCCUGGUUCAAGUCCAGGAUGGCCCAUUCGUUGUUGGGGGUAUAGCUCAGUUGGUAGAGCGCCUGCUUUGCAAGCAGGAUGUCAGCGGUUCGAGUCCGCUUACCUCCACUGAAAACUAUCCUGAUAACUAAAUUACGGAGAAAAUUUGUAGAUGUGUCUUAGAUUGUCUAUCUGAAGAACCUAGCUUCUUAUCAUCUUUUUAUAGUUGAUAACAUGCUGGGCUCGAUUGGAUUUAUUCCAAGAGAAUUCAGUAGAACCUUGAAAACUGCAUAGAUUAGAAAGAAUAAAGCAUCUCAUGGAUGCAUAAUUCUGUUUUUGUAAUUUAGUUUGAAAACUAAAUUACUACACAUGAAUUCAUGUUUAAUUCUUGAGUAAUAGCCGAGCACAAUUGAUUUUGUGAUUGUAUUUAAGGUCAAGCUACAAAGGGCUCA